UGGGGAAUAUUGGGCAAUGGGCGCAAGCCUGACCCAGCAACGCCGCGUGAAGGAAGAAGGCCCUCGGGUUGUAAACUUCUUUUAUAAAGGACGAAACAAAUGACGGUACUUUAUGAAUAAGCCACGGCUAACUACGUGCCAGCAGCCGCGGUAAUACGUAGGUGGCAAGCGUUAUCCGGAUUUACUGGGUGUAAAGGGCGUGUAGGCGGGACUGCAAGUCAGAUGUGAAAUUCCAGGGCUCAACUCUGGACCUGCAUUUGAAACUGUAGUUCUUGAGUGAUGGAGAGGCAGGCGGAAUUCCGUGUGUAGCGGUGAAAUGCGUAGAUAUACGGAGGAACACCAGUGGCGAAGGCGGCCUGCUGGACAUUAACUGACGCUGAGGCGCGAAAGCGUGGGGAGCAAACAGG
rnacentral:rRNA from 2 species